rnacentral:rRNA from 1 species
CCUACGGGAGGCAGCAGUGGGGAAUAUUGGACAAUGGGCGCAAGCCUGACCCAGCAACGCCGCGUGAAGGAAGAAGGCUUUCGGGUUGUAAACUGCUUUUCUCAGGGACGAAGAAAGUGACGGUACCUGAGGAAUAAGCCACGGCUAACUACGUGCCAGCAGCCGCGGUAAUACGUAGGUGGCAAGCGUUAUCCGGAUAUAGUGGGUGAAAAGGGCGUGUAGGCGGGAGCGCAAGUCAGAUGUUAAAAGUCAGGCCCCAACCCUGAGCCUACUUUUGAAACUGUGUUUCUUGAGUGCUGGAGAGGCAACCGGAAUUUCGUGUGUAGCAGUGAAAUGCGUAGAUAUACGGAGGAACACCAGUGGCGAAGGCGGAUUGCUGGACAGGAACUGACGCUGAGGCGCGAAAGCGUAGGGAGCAAACAGGAUUAGAUACCCUAGUAGUC